UACGUAGGUGGCAAGCGUUGUCCGGAUUUACUGGGCGUAAAGGGCGUGCAGGCGGUCUGUUAAGUGCAGGGUGAAAGCUCCCGGCUCAACUGGGAGAGGUCCUUGCAUACUGGCGGACUUGAGGGGGGUAGAGGAAAGUGGAAUUCCCAGUGUAGUGGUGAUAUGCGUAGAUAUCGGGAGGAACACCUGUGGCGAAGGCGGCUUUCUGGGCCCUACCUGACGCUGAGACGCGAAAGCGUGGGGAGCAAACAGG
rnacentral:rRNA from 1 species